AGCGAACGCUGGCGGCAGGCCUAACACAUGCAAGUCGAACGAACUCUUCGGAGUUAGUGGCGGACGGGUGAGUAACACGUGGGAACGUGCCUUUUGGUUCGGAAUAACUCAGGGAAACUUGUGCUAAUACCGAAUGUGCCCUUCGGGGGAAAGAUUUAUCGCCAUUAGAGCGGCCCGCGUCUGAUUAGCUAGUUGGUGAGGUAACGGCUCACCAAGGCGACGAUCAGUAGCUGGUCUGAGAGGAUGACUAGCCACACUGGGACUGAGACACGGCCCAGACUCCUACGGGAAGCAGCAGUGGGGAAUCUUGCGCAAUGGGCGAAAGCCUGACGCAGCCAUGCCGCGUGAAUGAUGAAGGUCUUAGGAUUGUAAAAUUCUUUCACCGGGGACGAUAAUGACGGUACCCGGAGAAGAAGCCCCGGCUAACUUCGUG
rnacentral:rRNA from 1 species